UGGGGAAUAUUGGGCAAUGGGGGGAACCCUGACCCAGCAACGCCGCGUGAAGGACGAAGGCCUUCGGGUUGUAAACUUCUUUGAACAGGGACGAAACAAAUGACGGUACCUGAAGAACAAGCCACGGCUAACUACGUGCCAGCAGCCGCGGUAAUACGUAGGUGGCGAGCGUUAUCCGGAUUUACUGGGUGUAAAGGGCGUGUAGGCGGACCGGCAAGUCGGGUGUGAAAUCCCCGGGCUUAACUCGGGUAUGUCAUCCGAAACUGCAGGUCUUGAGUACUGGAGAGGAUAGUGGAAUUCCUAGUGUAGCGGUAAAAUGCGUAGAUAUUAGGAGGAACACCAGUGGCGAAGGCGGCUAUCUGGCCAGUAACUGACGCUGAGGCGCGAAAGCGUGGGGAGC
rnacentral:rRNA from 1 species